GCUCACUUGGUAGAACGCAUGACUCUUGAUCUUGGGGUUGUGGGUUUGAGUCCCACGGUGAGUG
rnacentral:tRNA from 1 species